CUUUAUGACCUCUUUUAUUCAUAAAUAAAAACAGAAACACAAUUUAUUAUUCAAUAAAUAUCCAAGUAUUUACAUGUGUGCUAAACUUAUUACAUCAAAAUAUAUGACUAUAGCAUGUAGAAAAUCCUUGGAUGAAGCUUAAAGUCAAUUGGUAGCUUUAGAAUAAGUGUGGAUAGACAACUCCUUAAUAUUUCUAAAGGAGAAAGGUGGUAUCGGCACAUGAUAAGGAAGUGUUCAUAUCCUUCACAUAAAAAUUGUAGUAAUUGAUCAAGGAAAAAUUUUGAGGUAUAAAAAAUUGGUCAAUAAGUUUUAAGGCCAAUCUUUGAAAAAUAAUGGACACACAACCUACAGAACACACAAUAUACAAUAGAAUGGCAUAACUCAACUCAGGUGUGGAGGUUCGAUUCAGGUUCAAUAAAGAGAACUAUCUCUGGCUAUUGUAGAAAAAGGGUUGAUACCAAACAUUGAAAAGCUUGAUUAUGCAAAGACCUUUAGUAUGAAAGAGGAACUAAUGCCCUAGUACAGAGGUGCUUAGAGGAGUUAUGACUAGGGAAGGGGCCACGCCAAUAUUGGUAAUUAGUGUCACAAUAGGUGCCAUACCAGGUGCCAUACCAAGUGUUGCAAUAGAAGCCGUACCAAGUGUUACAGCAGGUGUCACAGCAGGUGCUGUGGUAGGCGUAACACUAAGUGUAGUACCAGAUGAGGUAGCAGGUGCUAUGUCAAGUGCGGUAAAUAGCAUUUUCAAAAUACAAAAUCUGAAGAUAAACAUAGCAUCAACAGAGUACCCAUUACAUCUAAGUGCAUAAAUAAAGCUCAAACCACACAAAGGCACCAAAUUCACUCUCAAAAUAGCAAAAUUCAAGGUAUCUGUAACUUUUUUCCAAAUUUUCUCAAAUUCCUUCAAAUUCUCAACAAAUUGACAAUGCCCAAAUAAGACCCAAUAUCUAUUUAACCAGGAAAUGGCUAUUAGAGUUAAGAAAUGGUUCAAGAAGUAUGAAUCAAGAAAAUGGAGUAGAGAAAGUACUUAAAAUGGCAUCGGGCAACAACAAGAGAAUAAGAACUCACGUGGAAGGCUAGGUGACUAGCUAAGGAGGCCUUCAGACCUUCGAAUCAAUUGACAGUGGCGGAUUUUGGUGAAGGAGUGGCACGCCAAAGGUAGAGAAGCAAACCGAAGAAGAAGAAAAAAAGAAAGAUGAAAAAUUACAUAAAAA
rnacentral:misc_RNA from 1 species